rnacentral:lncRNA from 1 species
GGAUGCUCCAUGACAACAUUAUAUAAUCGAAAAGGCUUAGGAUGCAAAGGCUUCUGCAUUCCAAAUUUAACAAGAAUAGGAGAGUGAUCAGAUAUUGAGGGGUUCAAGUAAUAUGCUUCCAAGUGUCCAAACUGCUGCAACCACUGAUAGUUACCCAGCGCCCAAUCAAUUUUACUGUAUACUUGCUUAUUAGACCAAGUGAAAUGCCAACCUUUAGCUCUGAUGGCAGUCAGCUGGAGGUCAGAAAUAAAUUCUUUGAAAUCCUUCGCUUCAGCAUCAGUCUAGAUCCAAUCCUGUCAUCAGAAUUGAGUACACUAUUAAAAUCACCACUAAUCAGCCAAGCAGCUUGGUUAGGGAUCUGGAAUGAUCUAAGGUCACUCCAUAGUUGUUUUCUAAGUGAAGCAGUAUUAUGGCCAUAUAUUACACUUAAAUGAAGACUGAUCUGGCUUCUAGUAUCUUCCAACCAACAAUGAAUAAACUGAUCAGACAUAGCUAGUAUGUGCAGUUGGAUAUGAGGCUUCCAAAUCAACCAUAUUCUUCCAUUAGUAGCAUUUGAAUAAUU